rnacentral:rRNA from 1 species
GCCUACGGGGGGCUGCAGUAAGGAAUAUUGGACAAUGGGCGGAAGCCUGAUCCAGCCAUGCCGCGUGAAGGAUGAAGGCGCUCAGCGUUGUAAACUUCUUUUGGAUGGGAACAAUAAUCGAGACUUGUCUUGACUUGAGGGUACCAUCAGAAUAAGCACCGGCUAACUCCGUGCCAGCAGCCGCGGUAAUACGGAGCGUGCAAGCGUUAUCCGGAAUCACUGGGUUUAAAGGGUGCGUAGGCGGUCUAAUAAGUCAGUCGUGAAAUCGCUGGGCUUAACCCAUGCAAUUGCGAUUGAUACUGUUAGACUUGAAUGGGGUUGAGGCUGGCGGAAUGCGACAUGUAGCGGUGAAAUGCUUAGAUAUGUCGCAGAACACCGAUUGCGAAGGCAGCCAGCUGGGCCUUUAUUGACGCUGAGGCACGAAAGCGUGGGGAGCAAACAGGAUUAGAUACCCUAGUAGUCAG